AUUGAACGCUGGCGGCAUGCCUUACACAUGCAAGUCGAACGGCAUCGCGGGAAAGCUUGCUUUCCUGGCGGCGAGUGGCGAACGGGUGAGUAACACAUCGGAACGUACCGGCUAGUGGGGGAUAACCCGUCGAAAAACGGGCUAAUACCGCAUACGCUCUUCGGAGGAAAGCAGGGGACCUUUGGGCCUUGCGCUAGCCGAGCGGCCGAUGUCCGAUUAGCUAGUUGGUGGGGUAAAGGCCUACCAAGGCGACGAUCGGUAGCGGGUCUGAGAGGACGAUCCGCCACACUGGGACUGAGACACGGCCCAGACUCCUACGGGAGGCAGCAGUGGGGAAUCUUGGACAAUGGGGGCAACCCUGAUCCAGCAAUGCCGCGUGGGUGAAGAAGGCCUUCGGGUUGUAAAGCCCUUUCGGCAGGGAAGAAAUCGGCGGGGCGAAUAACCCUGCUGGAUGACGGUACCUGCAGAAGAAGCACCGGCUAACUACGUG
rnacentral:rRNA from 1 species